AUUUACAAACCAUGUCACUGGAUCAAUUACAAACGGGUCGGUAAAAAACGAGGAUCCGCGUGUUUUUCUGGAUCCUUUAUAAUUUGUAUUCGGAUGGCUCUUUAAAAUUGAUCACUAAUUGAGAAACGAAACCCUUUUCCAAAUAAUUAUAAACCUAGAUGUUGUUGCACGACUCACAAUUCUAUGGAUCAAGCCGAGGAUGGCGGCAGUGAAGAAUUUCUUUCUCGUGUUUUUAUUGGAUUAAGAUCAACUCAAGUGAUGAAACCAAUCGCCACCCUAAAGCUGUUUGAUCCGGUGGCUGGUAGGAUAUUACGGUGUUUGUAGCUCUGGUAUGGCUUUGCGUUGGCUUGGACAGAAGAAGAACCACGAGACGGCUUUCAUUUCUUAAUUGAAUCUCCCUGGUAAACUCAUCUUAAAUCCUUGAACUAAUAAUCCUUUUGUUAUCAAUUUUCUAGAUUUGAUGUAAAUACUGAUUUUUUUAGAUGUUGAAUGUAUAUUUUCUGUUUAUGUUCUACGACAAUCCGUUAAUUUCAGAAUUGUCUAUUUCUGCUUAUGUUCUAGGACUUAACGGACAGGUUCAAUUAUCGAUCUCUUAACCAUAACACACUUCAUUAGUUAAUUUUGAUAGACAGUGACAGCACAUAAUAACACCUGAACCACAGACGUAUAUUGGUGGUAUUCUUAUGUUACUAACGAAUAAUGUUGUCUAAAGUUACUAUUCUUUCUACACAAUGUUAUUAAUGCUUCUUGUGUUCCAUAGAAUAUUGGUGGUGUAUCAUUUGUACCAUGAUCGCAAGACUGCUUAAAAGCAGAGGAUGGAGAAGAUAUUGGUGAUGUAUUUUUGAUUUAGCUCGGUUUCUGGACCAUUUUUCUCUAUUGUUAAACCGGCAAACUUUAUAUGAAAGUGAUUUCUUUAGAGACUUGCACAGCCACAAACUUAUUCUUCAUUGUUGUAUGUUUUGUUUGCUGUAUAGUGUAGUUUAACAAGGAUUAUGAUGAGUAGCCAUUGUUUUGUUUAUCUGUUCUUUUGUUAAUGGCAAAUUCAGAGGAUGAUUAGGCUUGGAAGCAUGACAGAUACGGAACAUGUUUCCACUUCUCCAACCACACCAUUUAGCUGCUGAAGAAUUUGUUCUCAAACCAACCAUUUAGCUGAUAAAGCAUUUGUUAAAUCCUCAAGUUCAGAGUCUUCUUGAAAAGUUGGCCACAACACACCCAACAGUAGGAUUUUUUCUAGAGAAAGAAAAAGAGGAUACAAGAAAAGCUUGAACGGUCUCACGUGACGGUUGCCCACAAGAAAAGUCAGGGCGUAGCAGCUAUAGCCAGCUAUGGCUAGAACUUGAACAUAGAGGUAGCCAUAUAGCUUAUUGAUAUCAUGGACAACAACAAGAUGGCUGCUCUAACUGCCCGUGUAGGAUCUGUGGACGGGAGACCAUAGUCUCCAAGAACGAGUGGCGACAUGUUUACCUUGUGGACGGCAGAAGGUGUUACUGCCAAAGAGGCCAACAAAUUACAUCUUCAUUACUUAGAAGGAAACACGAGUUUCUUGGUGAUAGAUACUCCAGUCUCAAUAUCAUGUCCUUUGGAGUUUACUCCUAAUUUUCUCAUCCCCAUUUGUUCAUAUACCAGUAGGAUAAAGCAAUAUUGUCCUAUUCAGCUUCGUUAAUUAUGUUUUUCUAUCCUACCGUGGAAACCCAAUGAAUA